rnacentral:rRNA from 1 species
GCACAAGCGGUGGAGCAUGUGGUUUAAUUCGACGCAACGCGAAGAACCUUACCAGGGCUUGACAUCCCCUGACCGCGUAUGAAAGUACGUUUUCACCCUCGGGUGACAGGGAGACAGGUGGUGCAUGGGUUGUCGUCAGCUCGUGUCGUGAGAUGUUGGGUUAAGUCCCGCAACGAGCGCAACCCCUACGUUUAGUUGCUAACAGGUGAAGCUGAGCACUCUAGACGAACUGCCGUUGACAAAACGGAGGAAGGUGGGAUGACGUCAAAUCAUCAUGCCCCUUAUGUUCUGGGCUACACACGUGCUACAAUGGCCGGUACAGACGGAGGCGAAGCCGCGAGGCGGAGCAAAUCCGAAAAAGCCGGUCUCAGUUCGGAUUGCAGGCUGCAAUUCGCCUGCAUGAAGUCGGAAUCGCUAGUAAUCGCAGGUCAGCAUACUGCGGUGAAUACGUUCCCGGGCCUU